rnacentral:misc_RNA from 1 species
GCUACCUCGAUGUUGAAUUAAGAAAAGAUCUAAUAGAAAAAAAUUAGAUUAUAGGUCUGUUCGACCUUUAAAUUCUUACAUGAUUUGAGUUAAGACCGGUGUAAGCCAGGUUGGUUUCUAUCUUCAUAAUAGAAGUUUUUAUAGUACGAAAGGACCUAAAAACUUAAUUUUAUUAAUUAAUUAGCUUAUAUAAAGCAAGUAUUUUGAAAAUACUAGAAAGAUUUAAAAAUUUAUUAAUUUU